AGAGUUUGAUCAUGGCUCAGAGCGAACGCUGGCGGCAGGCUUAACACAUGCAAGUCGAGCGGACGUAGCAAUACGUCAGCGGCAGACGGGUGAGUAACACGUGGGAACGUACCUUUUGGUUCGGAACAACACAGGGAAACUUGUGCUAAUACCGGAUAAGCCCUUACGGGGAAAGAUUUAUCGCCGAAAGAUCGGCCCGCGUCUGAUUAGCUAGUUGGUGAGGUAAUGGCUCACCAAGGCGACGAUCAGUAGCUGGUCUGAGAGGAUGAUCAGCCACAUUGGGACUGAGACACGGCCCAAACUCCUACGGGAGGCAGCAGUGGGGAAUAUUGGACAAUGGGGGCAACCCUGAUCCAGCCAUGCCGCGUGAGUGAUGAAGGCCCUAGGGUUGUAAAGCUCUUUUGUGCGGGAAGAUAAUGACGGUACCGCAAGAAUAAGCCCCGGCUAACUUCGUGCCAGCAGCCGCGGUAAUACGAAGGGGGCUAGCGUUGCUCGGAAUCACUGGGCGUAAAGGGUGCGUAGGCGGGUCUUUAAGUCAGGGGUGAAAUCCUGGAGCUCAACUCCAGAACUGCCUUUGAUACUGAAGGUCUUGAGUCCGGGAGAGGUGAGUGGAACUGCGAGUGUAGAGGUGAAAUUCGUAGAUAUUCGCAAGAACACCAGUGGCGAAGGCGGCUCACUGGCCCGGUACUGACGCUGAGGCACGAAAGCGUGGGGAGCAAACAGGAUUAGAUACCCCAGUAGUCC
rnacentral:rRNA from 1 species